rnacentral:rRNA from 1 species
UACGUAGGGUGCAAGCGUUAAUCGGAAUUACUGGGCGUAAAGCGUGCGCAGGCGGUGAUGUAAGACAGAUGUGAAAUCCCCGGGCUCAACCUGGGAACUGCAUUUGUGACUGCAUCGCUGGAGUGCGGCAGAGGGGGAUGGAAUUCCGCGUGUAGCAGUGAAAUGCGUAGAUAUGCGGAGGAACACCGGUGGCGAAGGCGACAUCCUGGACCGGUAUUGACGCUGAGGCGCGAAAGCCAGGGGAGCAAACGGG